AGGAGAAUUUGCGAGCCAAAUUGAGAUUCCGCAGAGACCUACGUAGGGUUCUGGAGAUGGACGAAGAGAUGAGAGUGAAGAAGAUCAACUUUUCAGGCGGUGGAUUGGGAUGUCAUCAACGACACAACUACACGGUGGGCUCACAUUUCGAAUGGGCUUUUUGUAUGGGCUACCAAAUCCAACAUGUUAAACAUUUCUAGGAGCACAAGGAGCUGGCCAAGGAAGGACAAUUUGUCUCUAUGUGAAUUCAAACUAAAGGAGCGUUUGUGGGAAAAUCCAAAGCGUGUAAAGAGAAGGGUCUUUUGGGGUUUUGGUGGCUACACUAGGUUUGAAGUUUUCUCUCAUAUAUGAAGACAUGAGAUAGAGGUGAAGAAGUGUGAGAGCAGAGCACAAUGUAGAUCUAUGGAGAGAGAAUGAAAGGGGGUUUUAGAAACAAGAAAGUGUAAGCUUUGGGUAGUUUCUUAAGAAGUCAAAUGAUGAGAGACAGUGAAUCUUAGCUAGUUAAGAGCUUUAGAUAAUCACUUGUAUCAUUUGUAAACACCUUCUUCUUCAUAGUGGAGUUGAGGAUCUAUCGAUCCUAACCGGACGUAGUGGCUCGUUAAUUAAUGCCGUGAACCGGGUUAACAAA